ACGAAUGUGGAAUGACCGGCGGAAUCCAAAUUUGCAAGAAUCAAGUCGCUAGGACUAACCGUUCGGAAAAUAUCGGCAAAAAUUUAGCCUUGUCAAAAUUUAUCGAAACCAAAUAGUCUUCAUUAUUUUCCAACUAUUCGGGGUCAUGUCCUUAGAAUUGAGUGUUUCUAACGUAGAAUGACCGGCGGAAUCCAAAUUUGCAAGAAUCAAGUCGCUAGGACUGACUGUUCGGAAAAUAUCGGCAAAAAUUUAGCCUUAUCAAAAUUUAUCGAAACCAAAUUGUCUUAAUUAUUUUCCAUCUAUUCGAGGUCAUGUCCUUAGAAUUGAGUGUUUCUAACGUAGAAUGACCGGCGGAAUCCAAAUUUGCAAGAAUCAAGUCGCUACGACUAACCGUUCGGAAAAUAUCGGCAAAAAUUUAGCCUUGUCAAAAUUUAUAGAAACCAAAUAGUCUUCAUUAUUUUCCAACUAUUCGGGGUCAUGUCCUUAGAAUUGAGUGUUUCUAACGUAGAAUGACCGGCGGAAUCCAAAUUUGCAAGAAUCAAGUCGCUCAGACUAACCGUUCGGAAAAUAUCGGCAAAAAUUUAGCCUUGUCAAAAUUUAUCGAAACCAAAUAGUCUUCAUUAUUUUCCAACUAUUCGGGGUCAUGUCCUUAGAAUUGAGUGUUUCUAACGUAGAAUGACCGGCGGAAUCCAAAUUUGCAAGAAUCAAGUCGCUCAGACUAACCGUUCGGAAAAUAUCGGCAAAAAUUUAGCCUUGUCAAAAUUUAUAGAAACCAAAUAGUCUUCAUUAUUUUCCAACUAUUCGGGGUCAUGUCCUUAGAAUUGAGUGUUUCUAACGUAGAAUGACCGGCGGAAUCCAAAUUUGCAAGAAUCAAGUCGCUCAGACUAACCGUUCGGAAAAUAUCGGCAAAAAUUUAGCCUUGUCAAAAUUUAUAGAAACCAAAUAGUCUUCAUUAUUUUCCAACUAUUCGGGGUCAUGUCCUUAGAAUUGAGUGUUUCUAACGUAGAAUGACCGGCGGAAUCCAAAUUUGCAAGAAUCAAGUCGCUCAGACUAACCGUUCGGAAAAUAUCGGCAAAAAUUUAGCCUUGUCAAAAUUUAUCGAAACCAAAUAGUCUUCAUUAUUUUCCAACUAUUCGGGGUCAUGUCCUUAGAAUUGAGUGUUUCUAACGUAGAAUGACCGGCGGAAUCCAAAUUUGCAAGAAUCAAGUCGCUCAGACUAACCGUUCGGAAAAUAUCGGCAAAAAUUUAGCCUUGUCAAAAUUUAUAGAAACCAAAUAGUCUUCAUUAUUUUCCAACUAUUCGGGGUCAUGUCCUUAGAAUUGAGUGUUUCUAACGUAGAAUGACCGGCGGAAUCCAAAUUUGCAAGAAUCAAGUCGCUCAGACUAACCGUUCGGAAAAUAUCGGCAAAAAUUUAGCCUUGUCAAAAUUUAUAGAAACCAAAUUUUCUUCAUUAUUUUCCAACUAUUCGGGGUCAUGUCCUUAGAAUUGAGUGUUUCUAACGUAGAAUGACCGGCGGAAUCCAAAUUUGCAAGAAUCAAGUCGCUCAGACUAACCGUUCGGAAAAUAUCGGCAAAAAUUUAGCCUUGUCAAAAUUUAUAGAAACCAAAUAGUCUUCAUUAUUUUCCAACUAUUCGGGGUCAUGUCCUUAGAAUUGAGUGUUUCUAACGUAGAAUGACCGGCGGAAUCCAAAUUUGCAAGAAUCAAGUCGCUCAGACUAACCGUUCGGAAAAUAUCGGCAAAAAUUUAGCCUUGUCAAAAUUUAUAGAAACCAAAUAGUCUUCAUUAUUUUCCAACUAUUCGGGGUCAUGUCCUUAGAAUUGAGUGUUUCUAACGUAGAAUAGUAGAGUAUAGAAUGUUACUUCUGGGCCAGAACAUUUGGCGUCUUAAAAAACAAGUCAGAACCUUACAAAUUUAGCUGUUUGGCCAAAAGCAAACAACCGAAUAGGGCCUAAAACCUCUCAAAAAUCAUUAAUUUUUAUCCACUCCAAAAGUUCCCAAAUAUAUGUAGGCCACCAAAAAUUGGGCACACGAAAAACAGGGUAAAAUGCUACAAAUACACUCUAAAAAACUAACAAAAUACCUUGUUUUUACACACCCCAAAAUGGCUUUUUACUUCUGGGCCAGAACAUUUGGCGUCUUAAAAAACAAGUCAGAACCUUACAAAUUUAGCUGUUUGGCCAAAAGCAAACAACCGAAUAGGGCCUAAAACCUCUCAAAAAUCAUGAAUUUUUAUCCACCCCAAAAGUUCCCAAAUAUGUGUAGGCCACUAAAAGUUGGGCACACGAAAAACAGGGUAGAAUCCUACAAAUUUACUGUUUUCCCAAAAGUAACCAUCCGAAAAAGAUGUAAAAAACUUACAAAAUGCCUUGAUUUUAGACACUCCAAAAAUAGCUUUUCAUUUCUGGACCAAGCCAAUUGGCGCAUGCAAAAAUCAAGUAAAAUUACCUCAAAACCAUUGUCAAAAUGUCUAGAUUUCACACACCUCAAAACAGCUUUUCAUUUCUGGACCAAACCUAUUGGCGCAUGGAAAAAAUCAAUGAAAUACAACUUAAAGCGACUUAAAAUUUUCGACACUCCAAGUAAAAUUACUUUAAAAACCAGGAAAAACCUUUAUAAAUUCCCUAGUUUUUAGAUACCCCAAAAAUAUAGCUUUUCAUUUCUGGACCAAGCCAAUUGGCGCAUGGCAAAGGUGUUAAAAAUUAUUACCAAAUACAUUUUGCAUACCCCAACUGUAUUCAACUAUUAUACGCACAUAAAAGAGAUACACGUAAUACGCUCGAUCGUGCAGCGCUUAAUUUAAUAACGAAUAACGCAUUUAGACUUUUGAGCGUUUUUAUUAAACAGAAGAGGGUCGAUGGUCUAGCGUUGGUAUCCUUCAAAAAUAUGCUGACACAUCGGCCUACUCGUUUAAAAAACGGAUUAACUGUAAAAGCAUUUUUUUUCGUUAUAGAAAUUGUUCUUAUUCUUAUUGUAGUAUUCAACGAUAGGCAACCAACAAUGUCAUUAUUGUUAGGUAGUUAUAAUUUGUUUUUGUAACACAACUUACUAAAUUUGAAGUUUUUUUUUAAUUUUGUAAUUGUGAUAUUAAAAAGCUUGGAUAUUUUUAUAAUAAAGUUUAAUGCAAAACGAUAUAAAUGCGAUAUAAUUGAUAUAAGUAUUAACUUCCCUAUCGGGAAAGUUAAAAAUAAACAAAGGCAUAAAAAUGUAUAAUUUGUAAAUACAAAUUUAUAACAAACUAGUGAUGUGAGUCUGAUACUUAUGAUGCUGAUACAUGAUACGUUUACUAAACUAAUCUGUCAAAGGGAAAAUAAGGAAACAAAUAUAAAAUAUAUUUUUGAAAGUUUAUCAGUUUUUUCCAUCUUAAUUAAUCGGCUUUUGUUGAUGCAAUAAUUUAGAACACAUACAUUAGAGUGCAUAGUGAUAAAAGCAUGGGACGUCACAAGCACAUAGUGUGGAAAUAUUUUAGAAGAUACAAAAAGGAUAAAUAUAUUUAUAUUUUGUAAAAAAAACUUUUAUUGCAAAUCCACUAGGGAUGGAAAACCACUGUCAAGCACCUGCCGAAGUAAAAAGUUUGUUUGAAAAAAAUUUGAAAAAUACACAAAAAAACUGUAAAAAGGUACAGGUAACAUCUAGCAUUGCUAGUAGUACUAGUAUGCAUCAGCAUCAGCAAUAAGCAUUGGAAAUUUUUUAGACAAGAUGACAAAAGAGGAAAACAUCAAAGCUAAUAUUUUACUAGCACGAGCAAUGUUUGAUACCUGUUCACCGUUGUCAUUGGUGGAAAACAAAUAUUUCCAAAAAUUUCUUAAUUAUUUGCAUCCAUCAUACGAUCCACCAUCCAGAUUUCAAUUAUCAACAAGUCUAGGUGUUCAGUAAAAUAACUAAAAUAAGUAAUAUAUUAAUAUUGAUCUAUUUUUUAGUAAUUUUAUAAUUUUAUACUAUGUAUUUGGUAUUAAAUUAAAGGGACAAUUGCAGAAAAAUAAAAAAUUAGCAAUUUGUGACUUUUUUUUAACAAAAACUGAAAGAUAAGUAUCAUAAUAUUUAUCUUGAUAUAUAUCAGCAUAAAAUAAAUAGCAUGCUACUUUACAACACUAUAACAAACAUUAGGUUCACCUCUCCAUCAACAUACUACUCUCCAAUGUUUACAAUAUCAAUAAUUUCAUUUAUUAACUUUAAAUACAUAACAUUUCUAGGUAAGUUCAAACAUUGCAGCAACACUGUUUUUUAAUAAGUAAAUUUAUGUCACCUCUUUUAUAUUUAUAAAUUAAUUUUGUAUUUUACACCCUUGACGAAAAGUUGGCAUGAAAUAAUUUUGUUUGUUUUACACCACCCGAUAAACUAAUUAGACCAAAUAAUACCAAGACCAAUAAAACUACAAAAUUUUCCUAAACAGAAUUCCUGAAAGAAAAUAAUAAAAUUCCCUGACUUUUUACACAUUUUACGUAAUAAAUUAUAUGUUCUUCAGUCUUAAUAAAAAUCAAUAAAUUGAUUUUCAAUAUCAAUACCAAACGAUACGAUCGAACAAAUACGACUUUUUAAAUUAAGUGUGUUAUGUUCUUCUGCUCUGAGAAUUGGGCACGUUUCAACAACUUUUAGUCUCUCUAAAAACUGUAUCGCGGAAUUUUCAGAUGAAUGGCGCCAAUCUGGUUGUAUCUUGUCAAAAAUUAUCAGCUCCAUUGUUCUUCCAGCUUCUAAGUUUAUACUUGGAAAUACAAGGUCUUGUUGCCUUUCAGCAAUAUUUCCGAAUGGAGUUGACCAGUUAAAAUUUCCAUCCAUCAUUCGCCCCAAAUAAUGGGCACACUCAUGUGCUGCGAGUGUUACUGCAUCAGCUUCAAAGUUUUUUGUGCCUGGGACUUCAGCCAAUUGACCUUUGCAUAUUAGAAUACCAUCUAUAAGACAUGCCCCACGUAAACCUGCCAGUGGUUUAAAAUUAUCAAGGGUGUAAAUUUGCAUCUUCUCAAUUUUAACUUUGAUCCAUUCAGCAGUGCAGGAGAAUCCCAUAAUGUCAUUCAAACAAGUUUGAAAACCAGACCGUAUAGAGGGACUCAACAAUGCAGUACGAACCACUUGUAUUUCCUCUUCAGAGGUGACUUUUAUCACGUUAUAUGCUUCUUCUUGCUGUGCCUUUAAUACAAACUCUUUAAUCAGAGAAUCAAAGUAAUUAUCAAUGUUCGUCUUAGUACCACUUGGCCUUUUAUCAAAAUUACUUGAAUAGGUUUCGUACACUUGAUGAACGUUUAAUUUGGUAUAAUGAACCAAAACUUGUAGGUAUAUUUUUUUUACAGAAUUGCUAAAAUCAUCCUCUAAAAAGGAAAUGAUGUCCCUACUUGUCUCGGGACAUAUGUACAACCCCUGUUGCAUAAUGUUGUAUAAAACACAAUUUCUUAAUGAAUCCACGUGCAACUCGUGCAUGUUACAGCUGACUGGUGUAUGCGGAGACCUAUUCUUUAGAAACUGAACGAGGUUGAAGCUUUCCUGUCCAAUGUUUGAUCUGACCGAUUCAAAGUAAUCCAUCUGGGUAAUGUUGGUAUAAGCAAUCUGAAAGCCAACAGAAAUAUGUUAAAUGUCAUGUUUAGUGUUUGAGCUUAAUAAUGUAUGUUUAUCUAAUACUCUACAUCAAAUUUUAA